GACGGGUGAGUAACAUGUAGGUAUCUGCCCUUUGGCCUGGAAUAACACGAGGAAACUUGUGCUAAUACCGGAUAAGUCUUUACGGAGAAAGCUUUAUGCACCAUUGGAUGAGCCUGCACUUGAUUAGUUUGUUGGUGGGGUAAUGGCCUACCAAGACUGUGAUCAAUAGCUGAUUUGAGAGGAUGAUCAGCCACAUUGGGACUGAGACACGGCCCAAACUCCUACGGGAGGCAGCAGUGGGGAAUCUUGCACAAUGGAGGAAACUCUGAUGCAGCGAUGCCGCGUGAGUGAAGAAGGCCCUUGGGUUGUAAAGCUCUUUCGUCGGGGAAGAAAAUGACUGUACCCGAAUAAGAAGGUCCGGCUAACUUCGUGCCAGCAGCCGCGGUAAUACGAAGGGACCUAGCGUAGUUCGGAAUUACUGGGCUUAAAGAGUUCGUAGGUGGUUGAAAUAGUUGGUGGUGAAAUCCCAGAGCUUAACUCUGGAACUGCCAUCAAAACUUUUCAGCUAGAGUAUGAUAGAGGAAAGCAGAAUUUCUAGUGUAGAGGUGAAAUUCGUAGAUAUUAGAAAGAAUACCAAUUGCGAAGGCAGCUUUCUGGAUCAUUACUGACACUGAGGAACGAAAGCAUGGGUAGCGAAGAGGAUUAGAUACCCUCGUAGUCCAUGCCGUAAACGAUGUGUGUUAGACGUUGGAAAUUUAUUC
rnacentral:rRNA from 1 species